rnacentral:rRNA from 1 species
UACGUAGGGGGCGAGCGUUGUCCGGAUUCAUUGGGCGUAAAGAGCGUGUAGGCGGCCAGAUAGGUCAGCUGUGAAAACUCGAGGCUCAACCUCGAGACGUCGGUUGAAACCAUCUGGCUAGAGUCCGGAAGAGGAGAGUGGAAUUCCCGGUGUAGCGGUGAAAUGCGCAGAUAUCGGGAAGAACACCCGUGGCGAAGGCGGCUCUCUGGGACGGUACUGACGCUGAGACGCGAAAGCGUGGGGAGCGAACAGG